rnacentral:RNase_P_RNA from 1 species
GAAGUGAGCUGGACGGUCGCUGCUGUGGAGGUCUUCGUGACUGAAGCAGGGGAGGAAAGUCCGGGCUUCAAAGGGCAGGGUGCCAGGUAACGCCUGGGCGGCGCGAGCCGACGGAAAGUGCAGCAGAGAGUAGACCGCCUCAUUCGUGAGGUAAGGGUGAAAGGGUGCGGUAAGAGCGCACCGCGUGUCUGGUAACAGUUCACGGCAUGGCAAACCCCACCAGAAGCAAGACCAAAUAGGAAUCCUGAGGUACGGCCCGUACUGGAUUCGGGUAGGUCGCUUGAGCGUAUGAGUGAUUGUACGCCUAGAGGAAUGAUCGUCCUCGACAGAACCCGGCUUAUAGGCUCACUUCCCUU